GUUGGUAUUUACGGUAUUUUCGAGUUUGUUGUGAAAAUGGCCCCACAUUUCAAGUCUUGUUAGCAAAAAACUUAAUGGUUCAACAUGUUCAACUUUGUUUUAUUUUUUUUUUAGGUUUGUGUAGAUGGAUUGGUAUAAUUAGGUUCAUGCGUAGUCUUUUCAGCUUAAUGUUUACAUAUGCAGGAUAUAUAUAUGGAUAAUAAAAGCAAUAUCAAGCUUAAAAAAUCUAUGAACGGUCAGCACUGAUAUAUCGUCUCUGUGCUAAAUCCGUUUGAUGUGUACUGAUUGAUA
rnacentral:lncRNA from 1 species